rnacentral:rRNA from 1 species
ACGAACGCUGGCGGCGUGCUUAACACGUGCAAGUCGAACGGAAAGGCCCCUUUGGGGGUACUCGAGUGGCGAACGGGUGAGUAACACGUGAGUAACCUGCCCUUGACUUCGGGAUAACUUCAGGAAACUGGGGCUAAUACCGGAUAGGAAUCCUUGCUGCAUGGUGGGGGUUGGAAAGCUUCGGCGGUUUUGGAUGGACUCGCGGCUUAUCAGCUUGUUGGUGGGGUAGUGGCUUACCAAGGCUUUGACGGGUAGCCGGCCUGAGAGGGCGACCGGCCACAUUGGGACUGAGAUACGGCCCAGACUCCUACGGGAGGCAGCAGUGGGGAAUAUUGCACAAUGGGCGGAAGCCUGAUGCAGCAACGCCGCGUGCGGGAUGACGGCCUUCGGGUUGUAAACCGCUUUCAGCAGGGGCGAAGCUUGUGGUGACGGUACCUGCAGAAGAAGCACCGGCUAACUACGUG